AGAGUUUGAUCAUGGCUCAGGACGAACGCUGGCGGCGUGCUUAACACAUGCAAGUCGAGCGAGGAGCUUGCUCCUAGCGGCGAACGGGUGAGUAACACGUGGGCAACCUGCCCUUGGCUCUGGGAUAACUCCGGGAAACCGGGGCUAAUACCGGAUACGACCACUGAUGACAUCUUCUGGUGGUGGAAAGAAUUUCGGCCAAGGAUGGGCCCGCGGCCUAUCAGCUUGUUGGUGGGGUAAUGGCCUACCAAGGCGACGACGGGUAGCCGGCCUGAGAGGGCGACCGGCCACACUGGGACUGAGACACGGCCCAGACUCCUACGGGAGGCAGCAGUGGGGAAUAUUGCGCAAUGGGCGAAAGCCUGACGCAGCGACGCCGCGUGAGGGAUGAAGGCCUUCGGGUUGUAAACCUCUUUCAGCAGGGACGAAGCGAAAGUGACGGUACCUGCAGAAGAAGCACCGGCCAACUACGUGCCAGCAGCCGCGGUAAUACGUAGGGUGCAAGCGUUGUCCGGAAUUAUUGGGCGUAAAGAGCUCGUAGGCGGUUUGUCGCGUCGGCUGUGAAAACCUGAGGCUCAACCUCGGGCCUGCAGUCGAUACGGGCAAACUAGAGUUCGGUAGGGGAGACUGGAAUUCCUGGUGUAGCGGUGGAAUGCGCAGAUAUCAGGAGGAACACCGGUGGCGAAGGCGGGUCUCUGGGCCGAAACUGACGCUGAGGAGCGAAAGCGUGGGGAGCGAACAGGAUUAGAUACCCUAGUAGUCC
rnacentral:rRNA from 1 species